rnacentral:rRNA from 1 species
GACGAACCGUCCAAACGUUACUCGGAAUUACUGGGCUUAAAGGGUGGGUAGGCUGCGCGGAAAGUUGGGUGUGAAAUCCCUCGGCUCAACCGGGGAAUUGCAUCCAAAACUACCGUGCUCGAGGGAGACAGAGGUAAGCGGAACUCAAGGUGGAGCGGUGAAAUGCGUUGAUAUCUUGAGGAACACCGGUGGCGAAAGUGGCUUACUGGGUCUCUUCUGACGCUGAGGCACGAAAGCUAAGGUAGCAAACGGG